rnacentral:rRNA from 1 species
GAUGAGCGCUGGCGGCGUGCCUAACACAUGCAAGUCGAGCGAUCUUCUUCGGAAGAGAGCGGCGGACGGGUGAGUAACGCGUGGGUAACCUGCCCUGUACACACGGAUAACAUACCGAAAGGUAUGCUAAUACGAGAUGAUAUGCUUUUAUCGCAUGGUAGAAGUAUCAAAGCUCCGGCGGUACAGGAUGGACCCGCGUCUGAUUAGCUAGUUGGUAAGGUAACGGCUUACCAAGGCGACGAUCAGUAGCCGACCUGAGAGGGUGAUCGGCCACAUUGGAACUGAGACACGGUCCAAACUCCUACGGGAGGCAGCAGUGGGGAAUAUUGCACAAUGGGCGAAAGCCUGAUGCAGCAACGCCGCGUGAGCGAUGAAGGCCUUCGGGUCGUAAAGCUCUGUCCUCAAGGAAGAUAAUGACGGUACUUGAGGAGGAAGCCCCGGCUAACUACGUGCCAGCAGCCGCGGUAA